UAGAGUUAUUAAGAACUAACUCCUGAAGAUCCAUCUUGAUUAUUUACAUAACCUCCAAAAAAAUUGCCUUGGAAUGGUAUGAUAAUUAUUCAAAGGGAUUAUUACAAAAUACCUGUUUUUCCAAAUAUAUUUACAGCAUAUUGGGCCAUUUGAAUCUCAUCUUCUCAAUUCUGAUUAAUUCCUUUUUCAGUAACAAAUGGGACCAAUAGGAAAAAAAAUGAUUAUCCGGUGACUAGCGGUAGUGGCAGCGGUGGUGGGGGUGUUAAAACGGUGGAAAACGAUAGUAGCAGUGUCGAGGGAGACGAUCGUGGUGGAGUUGCAAGAGUAGUGGUGGCUGGUGGCGGUGGAGUUUCUGAGAGAGAUGCUGGCGGUGGAGUUACUGGAACGGUCGUCGGAGCAGUGUUGGAGGAAGAGUCAAUUACGCAAUUAGUUUUUAUAAUUUUUAGGUUUUCUUGUUUUUCAGUUUUAAUGUUCUGUUCAAUUUUUGACUAAUUUUGCUUUGAAUUGAAAUUUGUAAAAAUAACGGAGAGAGAGAGAGAGAGAGAAACUGCAAAAGAUUAAUGGUAUUUGUUUGGUUGAUUCCGGCGGUGCAAGGGGCGAAGUCAGAAAUUAUUCGAAAGGGGGGCAAAUUUAAUAUUUUACAUUGAAUAUAAAAAUAAAUUGGUCAAUUUAUGUUAAAAAUUAAUUUAAUUGCAUUGCUUAACCUAAUUAAUUCAAUAUAUUGGCUCAAUUUUCUUUGUAGAAAGGUGGUCAAUUGACCCCCUUCUUAACCAUGUGGCUUCGCCACUAUCUCCGGUGGUUGUGGAGGUUUCUGCUCCGAUGGUUGCCGGAGAAAAGAAGAGGCGAUUUAUCAACAUACAUUUCUGUCCAGUUCUUAACCCAAUUUUUUAUCAAUUUAAUAUUUAUUCUCUGGUGUGUUUUUUUUCAGGCUAAUGAGUUGUUCAUUAAACUUGAUCGGCAAAGUCCAGCAGCUUCAUUUUCUUGAGUCGAUGGCAAUGAUCUCAGGUCCAUAAAUGCUGAAAAUGAAAAAUUCUGUAGCCGGAGUAGAAGCUCCUUGUAAGGGUUUGGAACUGCAACUAAAGUGCCAACAAUCUUUCCAACGCAAGAAGGUAUCAAAACAUCAUGCGAUUGAGCAUAUAGAGUUGUAAAUGAAGGAUCAGUAUUUGAAGUGGAGUUGAUUCCAUAAAGAUGAAUGUGUUUCUUUAUGAUCCCUCUUGAUUUCUCCUUGUUGAAGUUUAAAGGAUGUGCUGAUGCUAAAAAAGUGAUUGCUGCACUUAAAAGCAGAGGCAUUUCUGUAGUAGGAGCUGCAGGAUUUUGCUGGGGUGGUAAGUUCUUCGAGCUCCGUGCCACCAGUGUUAGGCAUUAAUGAAUAACUCUUGCACAGAAACCUUUUUAUACCGAUAAGUGCAUGAUUUCUCAUUGAACUACUAAUUUGUAAUUGGCUUUGUGUGUAAUUGUUUCAGGCAUGGUGGUUGUAAAACUAUCAAGCGGUGAUGAUAUUCAGGCUGCAGUUAUAUUGCAUCCUGACUGGAUUACAGCUGAUGAGAUCAAUAGUUACUUCUGUCUUAGGAUUUCAUUGCAUCAUUAUUCUAUGUUGCACGAGAACUUUUUGAGUCAUGCAUUUCGGGUUUUAUAUCCAUUACUAAAAACAUAAAAUCCCAAAAUUCUAUAUUUAUCACAUGUUCCUGUAAAAAAUAUUGUUUCGUUGUUUUCCAUUUCAUAUUCCCCGUAUCAACAUUUUUGUUUUCGUUUUUAUAAUAAUUGAUUGACAAAAUAAUGAUUGUUUCAGCUAUGAAGGUUCCAACUGCUAUAUUGUGUGCUGAGACCGAUUAGAUUUCCCCACCAGAACAAAUGAAACAAUUCGGAGAGAUAUUAGCAACAAAUCUGAGUUUGAGAGUUACGUAAAGAUAUUCGAUGGAGUUGUUCGUAGAUGGACACUGAGGUAUAAUGAUGACGAUGAUUCAGCUAUCAAGAAAGCCGAAGAAUCUCAUUCAUACAUGUUGAAUUGGUUUACCAAAUUUGUCAAGUGAUAUUUGCUGAUUGAGAAUUGAAUUUGAAAAAACUAGGAAAUGAGAAUAGGGGCAACAAAACUGCUUAUUACUUAUCUGAUUGUAAGAACCGAAAAGAUAAUAUUUCAGCAUUAUUACUAAAUGAAGACCAUAGUUGAUAAA